ensembl:lncRNA
CUCAGUGAUAUAUUGUCAUUUCAUAUUCAAAUAGUCUGGCAAUAGUUGAUAUGAAUCAGCUAGGUGUACAGUGAGGAAUUUGAUGACUCAGUGAUAUAUUGUCAUUUCAUAUUCAAAUAGUCUGGCAAUAGUUGAUAUGAAUCAGCUAGGUGUACAGUGAGGAUUUUGAUAACAUAGUGAAAUGUGAACUGUGAUAUAUUUUAAAAUCUUAUCCAUAUAGUCUGGCACUAGUCGAUGUGGCGCUCAGCUAGGUGUACAGUGAGGAUUUGAUGACUCUGUGAAAUGAAAUGUGAAUGUGAUUAUGAAAUGUUUUGUUAAUUGAUCGAGACGUGUAGCCAAGACUGGGACUGGUGGAGCUGGCAUCCCACCAGGAGCCUCGGUUAUAGAUUAAGAUUGGACUAGGAGUGAAGGAAUUAAACCCGAUCUCUCCAGAUUAAUGUGACUGAUUGGACAUUUCUUGAGACCGGGAAAUAUUGAUUGGGGACUCUGUGGUGUAACUGUGUUGAAGUGACCGCCGAGUCAAAGGGUUGGGCGGAGAUUUUCCGACCGCCGUGUCGAGUCAUUAUUUGAUUGGCAUUCCUUUUGUGCUGCUGGUAUUGCUUGGAUUUAAUUUGACAUAUAGUUUAAAAAUUAAUUUGACAAAUAUUAUAGAAGGCAUUUUACACACACUGUCAUUAACCCAAAGGUGGACGUUAGGGACAUCAACAUUUGGCCAGACAGUAAGAAAUGUGUGUAGCUGUGGAAUUACUUUAACAAGUUUACCUAGACGCUAAUCGUUACCUCACGAAUAUCUUUUUAUUAUCAAUAUAAUAUUUAUAUAUUAGUACAGUAAUUCCACAAAACUCUUUGUGCACGAGGGUGAAGCACAAGAGAUAAGUCUGUGUUGGCACCAGGAAUACAUCGCUGGUUUCGACCAAGUGACGGGCUAAGUGCACUGAGAUAACUAUAGGACCCAGAAAUAGUGAAACGUCAAUAUGGCCUCAAUUACCGUUCCCAAACUCAAAUUCAACGAAUACUUGGAUCAGAGAAUACAGGAGAGAUCAGGGGGAAAACAGGAGUAUAAAGCUAUAAAGAAGGUAUGGGAGGGAAUUAGGCUGAGAUGGACACAGGCAGGUUACAUUAGUGGAGUUGCCCCGUCAAGGGAGCAGCACAGCGCUAUGGAGAGAGAAUUAGAGGAAGCAGUAAAACACAGUAAAGAGAGUGAGGCAGAAAGAAAUAAGAGCCAUUUUUUCAAGAAUGAAGGAACAGAGAAGAGGGAGAGACCUGAGGCUGAGCUGAGAAUAGGCACAUGGGCGAUAGAGGAGACAAAAAGGGCAUGCCCACACAGAAAACCUGAUAUGAUGGCCGUGCUUGCUGGGGCCUCAGCUGACGUCAGCGAAGGCACAAUCAACAACCACAACACACCACAGCCCACCGUUACCACCCCAUCGGCCCCGCUCUCUCUAUACCCGCCACUGCCACAGGAAGAGAAGGCUGCAGCGCCACCCCCCUAUUCUCAAAACCCAUUCAUACCAUCAACCCAGGAGAACAACCUGCAGCCUAUCUGGAUAGAGCAAAGACAACAUGGAGAACCGUUCAUGAAGACCCAUAUGAUCACACUGCUACCACACUCAGCAUGUGGAAAGAAAUGGUGGUGAAUGGAUGUCCUACUAAAGUGAAAGCACAGUUGAGGGGCACAGUGGGCCUCAUCUCCCUCCCUCUGACCCAGUUCAACACACACCCCUGCGCACUUAACACCAAUGCCAAUGGCACCAGAGGGGGGACUACAGGUUGCAUUCCAGCCACAAUGGAUUCCAGGACUGCCUAGUGGGGGAGUCUGCUACAACUGUAGGACGCCCGGUCACUACUCCAGGGACUGCCCAUAUCCACUGUCUCAACCUCAGCGCCCACCCAGGGGAGGAAGGCCCUUCUACGGUCCACCUAGAGGGAGGGGUGUCUACAGGCCAUCGCCUCAGCCACAACCACAGCCGAGAAUUCAGAGUGAACAACCUGCAUACAACCACCCAGUGCCAUUUGCCUCCUACCCACCACAGCAGGCGCCGUUCCAGGGUAUGUCAGGAGAAUACCCACCUUGGCAAUGAAGCUGCCCACCAUCACCACGAGAGAAGGAACUGACCUCUCUACGGAUGCCUCUCUCACCUCCCCUGACUAUUCCAAGAGUUUCCAUCUGGAUGUUUCUGAAAAGGAGGGGUUCACGGUCUCUGUCCUUUUUCAGAAACAAGAGGGGGAGCGUAGGGUGCUGCUGUACCACUCCUCCAAGUUAGAUAACACGGACAAGAACAUGGCCGACGCUCUCAACGCGGAAGAAGGGCUACCUCACUCCUGCACCGAAACAGCUGCUCAAGAAUUGAAACUAAGACCCGACCUGGGAAACACACCACUGACCAAACCUGACCUAUGGCCAUACACAGAUGGCUGCUGCUACAAGGGAGAGAAUGGUAAUGUGGCGGACUAUGCAGUGGUGCAGCAGGCCCAGACGGCUCACACGUUACUCUUGAAUCAGCCAUCAUCCCUCAACCAGCACCUGCCCAAUUAGCUGAAAUCAUCGGAUUGACGCAGGCCCUCAUCAGAGGAAAAGGAAAGACUGUGAAUAUCUAUACAGACUCAGCCUAUGCCCAUGGAGCAGUCCACACUGAUGGACCCAGAACUAAUACGGGAAGCUCAUGGGCCCACCCACGAAGGCAAACUAAGGACUUUACAGAAGGUGUCUCACAUCUGGUGGCACCCUCACAUGAAAGAUAUGACAGACUUAUUCUGUGACGAGUGCAGCAUUUGUGGUAGCUACAAUCCUAAGAAACCAUACCAAAGUCCAAUGGGCUCAUACUUAGUACCUAAUGCAUGUUUUCAGGAUAUUAGCAUAGACCACACCGACAUGGGCCCCGACAAUGUAUUCUAAAGAUAAACGCUAUCUCCUAGUUAUGAUAGAUAGGUUCUUCAGAUGGGUAGAAGCAAUACCAACAGCGAAGGGGGGAUGCUAGGUCAGUCGUUAAGUGGCUAACAAACCAAACUAAUACCCAGGUAUGGCAUCCAAAGAAAAAUCUAAUUUGACAAAUGGCUCACAUUUCAAUAACAAACACCUGGGACAGGUGGAAAGAAAGAUUUGGCAUAACACAGAUUUGGUUCUGUGUACCACCCCCCGAUCCCAAGGUCUCGUGGAAACGCGCAGGUCAAACGCUUAAAAUCCAAAAUAGCUAAGGUAUGUGCCGGGUCAAAGUUGAAAUGGGUCAAAGCCCUGCCCCUGGCGUUGAUGGCCAUGAGAGCCUCACCAGGGUCAGGCACCCAUCUCUCUC